AGCGUCAUUACGACCCUCAAGCCUUAGUUGCUUGGUAUUGGGAGCUUACCCUGUAGUAACUCCUCAAAGUCAGUGGCAGAGCUGUGGAACACUCUAAGCGUAGUAAUUCUUCUCGCUUUUGCAGUAGCCUCGGCGAUCGCCAUAAGCCUAUAUUUUUAAAGGUUGACCUCGGAUCAGGUAGGAAUACCCGCUGAACUUAA
rnacentral:misc_RNA from 1 species